AUUAAUUACAUUUUUAAAAUGUUUUAUUUUAGUUUCAUAAAAACUGUUUUGGUGAUAAUGAGAGAAAAUCAUGUCACACAUUUUCAAUCUUCUUUUAUAGCUGGAACAUGAAAAUGCCCAGUUAAGAAAUAUAAAUUUCUCUUUGUCUGAAGCCCUUCAUGCACAGUCAUUGACAAAUAUGAUCCUGGAUGAUGAAGGUGUUUUGGGCAGCAUUGAGAAUUCUUUUCAGAAGUUUCAUGCUUUCUUGGAUCUCCUUAAAGAUGCUGGGCUUGGGCAGCUUGCCACAAUGGCUGGGAUAGAUCAGUCAGAUUUUCAAUUACUAGGUCAUCCCCAGAUGACUUCUUCUGUUAGUAAUCCACCUAAAGAAGAAAAGGCACUUGAAGAUGAAAAACCAGAACCAAAGCAGAAUGCCCUAGGGCAAGUGCAAAAUAUCCAGUUUCAGAAAAUUACAGGUGAUGCUAGAAUUCCUUUGCCUCUCGACUCCUUUCCUGUCCCAGUUUCUACUCCAGAGGCCUUAGGAACUUCCAGCAACAACCUAGGAGUCCCAGCCACUGAGCAGCGGCAGGAGUCUUUUGAAGGAUUCAUUGCUAGAAUGUGUUCUCCUUCACCAGAUGCAACUUCUGGAACUGGAAGUCAAAGAAAAGAAGAGGAGUUGUCCAGAAAUAGCAGAUCUUCUUCAGAGAAAAAGACCAAAACAGAAUCCCAUUGAAAUGACUGGAGAAAUAUUAAAAUAAAAAUAAUAGCAGAGUUGGAAAACCAGAAAUUUGAACACUGUGAAAUUUCUGGAAGAUAAGAAGCAGAUGAUUUAAGUACCAGUUAAUUAAAGGGUGGAACAGCUAAGCCAUUCCACUCAUCUUUGGAGCAUCUGAUUCUGGAGUUUGCCACCAGGCUAAGAAAGCAGCUAUCUGAAGUGAGAGCUCUGACCCAAGAAGUGCUGGGAUCGGAGAAUAAGGGAAUUAUCCAAAAUGGCUACGAAGAGGAACUGAAGUUAAGCUGCCCACAUGAUCUCUCUAACUAUGAUGACCUGCCACUUCCAUUUAUAAUCACCAUAUAAGUGCCUGUAAUCACUUGUGUUCAUUAAAAGUGAACCAGAAUUCCCAUUUGGAUGAAAAAACAACACUUCCAACUUUAAUCUUAGGCCCUCAUUUAUAAAUGGACAACCAAGAAUCAUCAAAUUUGAAGAAAACCAGUAACGUAAAAGGAGGCAUGAAAUUAAAAUUAACCUGUUCAAGAAGAUAGUUACUAGGAGAAACAUGAAAUUUUUAAUGAAUCAAAAUCUUCAGCAAUUCAUAAAGAUACUGUGUUCAUAAAGAAUAGGAUGCCAUAAAAAAUAUUUAGAGUUUCUGGAAAUUAAAAAUUUGAUUAUAAAACUGAAACACUCAGAAGAUGGACUACACAGCAGAAUGGAUUCAGUUGAAGCUUAAAUUCAUGAAAUGGAAGAUAUUAGUUGGUCUCAGACGUUUCAUCAGCAACUUAAUUACUUAGAAAAAAUCUUUCUCAGAGUAACUAAGCAAAAUGAACAAUGAAUCCAUUAAAGUGUGGUUUUGUUUUUUGGGUUUUUUUUUUGAGUCAAGGUCUCACUCAUGUCACCCAGGCUGGGGUGUAGUGAUGGGAUCACAGCUUAUUGUAACCAUGAACCUUUGGGCUUAAAUGAUCUUCCCACCUCAGCCUCCCAAGUAGCUGCAAUGUACCACCAUGCCUAUGUUUUAAAAAAUUAUUGUAGAUAUGGGUU
rnacentral:sRNA from 1 species